UACGUAGGGGGCAAGCGUUGUCCGGAAUUAUUGGGCGUAAAGGGCGCGUAGGCGGCUUCGCGUGUCUUCCGUGAAAUCCCUCGGCUUAACUGAGGACGUGCGGAAGAAACUGUGAGGCUCGAGUCCGGGAGAGGGGGGUGGAAUUCCCAGUGUAGCGGUGAAAUGCGUAGAUAUUGGGAGGAACACCGGUGGCGAAGGCGGCCCCCUGGACCGGUACUGACGCUGAGGAGCGAAAGCGUGGGGAGCGAACAGG
rnacentral:rRNA from 1 species